rnacentral:lncRNA from 1 species
UAUGAUCAACAUUUGCAUUAUCUUCUUCAUCAAUAAGAUCACAGUUUAAAUCAUUAAUUUCUUCAUAUUCAUGUAGAGAAAACCUCAAAGGAUAACCUUCUAUCAAAGAUCAUAUCUCAUAGUUCUAUUGACAACUAAUGCGAUAGGAAAUAUGAACUGCCUUACCACACCAUAUGUAGCCACUCUAACCCAACAUCAAC